rnacentral:rRNA from 1 species
CGGCGGCCGUAACUAUAACGGUCCUAAGGUAGCGAAAUUCCUUGUCGGGUAAGUUCCGACCCGCACGAAAGGCGUAACGAUCUGGGCACUGUCUCAACGAGAGACUCGGUGAAAUUAUAGUACCUGUGAAGAUGCAGGUUACCCGCGACAGGACGGAAAGACCCCGUGGAGCUUUACUGUAGCCUGAUAUUGAAUUUUGGUGCAACUUGUACAGGAUAGGUAGGAGCCAGAGAACCCGGAGCGCCAGCUUCGGGGGAGGCGUCGGUGGGAUACUACCCUGGUUGUAUUGAACUUCUAACCCACAAGCCUUAGCGGCUUGGGAGACAGUGUCAGGCGGGCAGUUUGACUGGGGCGGUCGCCUCCUAAAGAGUAACGGAGGCGCUCAAAGGUUCCCUCAGAAUGGUUGGAAAUCAUUCGCAGAGUGUAAAGGCACAAGGGAGCUUGACUGCGAGACGGACAGGUCGAGCAGGGUCGAAAGACGGACUUAGUGAUCCGGUGGUUCCGCAUGGAAGGGCCAUCGCUCAACGGAUAAAAGCUACCCCGGGGAUAACAGGCUUAUCUCCCCCAAGAGUCCACAUCGACGGGGAGGUUUGGCACCUCGAUGUCGGCUCAUCGCAUCCUGGGGCUGUAGUCGGUCCCAAGGGUUGGGCUGUUCGCCCAUUAAAGCGGUACGCGAGCUGGGUUCAGAACGUCGUGAGACAGUUCGGUCCCUAUCCGUCGCGGGCGCAGGAAAUUUGAGAGGAGCUGUCCUUAGUACGAGAGGACCGGGAUGGACACACCGCUGGUGUACCAGUUGUUCUGCCAAGAGCAUCGCUGGGUAGCUAUGUGUGGCCGGGAUAAGUGCUGAAAGCAUCUAAGCACGAAGCCCCCCUCAAGAUGAGAUUUCCCAUUGCGCAAGCAAGUAAGAUCCCUCAAAGACGAUGAGGUAGAUAGGUUCGGGGUGGAAGCGUGGCGACACGUGCAGCUGACGAAUACUAAUCGAUCGAGGACUUAACCAA